rnacentral:rRNA from 1 species
UACGUAGGGGGCAAGCGUUGUCCGGAAUUAUUGGGCGUAAAGCGCGCGUAGGCGGCGCGGUAUGUCGUGCGUGAAAUCUCCCGGCUUAACUGGGAGGGGCCGUGCGAAACUGCCGGGCUUGAGGUCGGAAGGGGAAAGUGGAAUUCCGGGUGUAGUGGUGGAAUACGUAGAUAUCCGGAGGAACACCAGCGGCGAAGGCGGCUUUCUGGUCCGAUUCUGACGCUGAGGCGCGAAAGCGUGGGGAGCGAUCCGG